rnacentral:pre_miRNA from 1 species
GGCCCACCACUACCACCAGACCAUGGAGGUGCCAUGGGACAAGAUUCUUGGUGCCACCAUUGAGAACUCCAAGAUUGUCCUGUGGGUCGUCGGCAAUGCCCGUCUGGCCAAGGAUG